GACGGAGGGGGCUAGCGUUGUUCGGAAUUACUGGGCGUAAAGAGCGCGUAGGCGGUUUUCCAAGUUGGGCGUGAAAGCCCGGGGCUCAACCCCGGAACUGCGCUCGAGACUGGAUGACUAGAGGCCGGGAGAGGUGAGUGGAACUCCCAGUGUAGAGGUGAAAUUCGUAGAUAUUGGGAAGAACACCAGUGGCGAAGGCGGCUCACUGGACCGGUACUGACGCUGAGGUACGAAAGCAUGGGGAGCAAACAGG
rnacentral:misc_RNA from 1 species